UGAAUCAUAGUGAUCUUCCAGGGUAACCCAGGAGGGGAAGCCUGGGAGAGGUAUGGGGGGAAAGGUUUAUUUCUGUCCUUGUGUUAAGUAUCCAGAAGAACUGUGUCUUGAGA